GACGAACGCUGGCGGCGUGCUUAACACAUGCAAGUCGAACGGAAAGGCCCUGCUUUUGUGGGGUGCUCGAGUGGCAAACGGGUGAGUAACACGUGAGUAACCUGCCCUUGACUUUGGGAUAACUUCAGGAAACUGGGGCUAAUACCGGAUAGGAGCUCCUGCUGCAUGGUGGGGGUUGGAAAGUUUCGGCGGUUGGGGAUGGACUCGCGGCUUAUCAGCUUGUUGGUGGGGUAGUGGCUUACCAAGGCUUUGACGGGUAGCCGGCCUGAGAGGGUGACCGGCCACAUUGGGACUGAGAUACGGCCCAGACUCCUACGGGAGGCAGCAGUGGGGAAUAUUGCACAAUGGGCGGAAGCCUGAUGCAGCAACGCCGCGUGCGGGAUGACGGCCUUCGGGUUGUAAACCGCUUUCGCCUGUGACGAAGCGUGAGUGACGGUAAUAGGUAAAGAAGCACCGGCUAACUACGUG
rnacentral:rRNA from 1 species